AAGAAAGACAAAAUCCAAAGUCAUCAUAAACGUUUGUGACACCAAAGCCCACUUGCUGGAGAUGACAGAAGCCCGACAACACUGGAGUUACAUAAAGUGCCACAAGGUUAUCUUGACGAAUCAAAUUACGGCCCAUCUGAGUGGAGCCCUCCCUUCUCAAGCAGACCUGGUGUCUCCGGCUGAUGAUUUGUCCCUGUCUGAAGGCACUUCUGGAUCCAGCUGUGUGGUAGCCGCACUAGGAAACACAUGGAGUCACUGUGUGAACACCCGGCUGAUUCUCCAGUACCUUGACUCACAGAGAAGGCAGAUUCUUAUUGCCAAGUCCCCUCUGGCUUCCUUCACCUCCUUCGUCUACACCAUCAAGGGAGAAGGCCUGAUUCUCCAAGGCCAAGAGAGGCCGUAGGGAUACUGUGACCUUUGUCUAGAGCUGAUGGGGGUGUGAAAUGAAACCAGACCAAGACGGGUGCUGCCUGCAAAAAGGAAACGGAAGCCAACAUAAUGAGGAUUAAUUGGUUGAUUGCCAUCGAGAUGGCAACUGUGAUUUCAGACCCGGAAGGGAAGCUACCAAUAACUCUGGGAAAGAAGGGCAAGUUAGAAGGAGUUGUGUCCUGCUCUGCCCAAUGCUCUGAAGAUAAAACAGCUGACUCGGAACUGCCUGGGACCAUCUGACUUUGUGUGAAAAGGUUUUGGAAAUGUGCCUCCAUUCCUCCCUUCUUAUUAGACAUGAUUCAGAUCCCCUCUAAGCCCUGUGAUUUCCAGAAAUCAGCUGGGGGUUGGUGGUAAAAACUUUCCCUCAUUAUUCUCAAUAAUGAAUCCCUGCUCUGAGCGGAUUCUGUCCAUGUGUUUCCAGUCAAGUGCCGAUGGCAGCCUUGCCGGGGGACAUUUCCGAGAGGCUGCGGACAUAAUAGAUGAGGCCUUGUAUUGACAAGAGCUGUCCUUCGUUUUCCAUCCCGUUCAGCCUUUCAGAGCCCUGAAAUCAGAGCUGAGAAAUGAUGAGCCCACAAGGCUGCCACACCCCUUUGCUUCCUCUGGGUAAAGACAUGGUUUCAGGGUCCGUCCGUCCCCCCCCCCCCCCACACACACACACACCAGAGUCACAGAUCUGGAGCCUAGUAACUUAAGAAAGACUUCUUAGGACCAAACCUGUUUUUAUAGAUGCCAAGACUUCCUUUCUUUAGGACCUGCGCACAGCCUUAGCUUGCUCUCACAUCCCAAGAGCAAGGGGAGAAAUUAGGCCACCCCGCUUCCUAGAGAAAGCCUCAUUUCAAGCAUACAAACAACUUCCAAGUAAACUAUGGGCUUGACUGUGUUAAGACAGCCAGCCUAUGCAUUCUUCCCUACCUACAGAGAAGACAAACACCUGUUGAGAUAAGGUGGGCCCUUUUCAUUUGGAAAACAAGCAUACAUCCCUGCAGGUAAAAAGUGACGUGUUGUUAAGGGUGUGAGUGGCGCCUCUGGGAGCAUCCUGAGAACUCACUGUCCGGAGUGAGUGUCCUGAGGUCUGUAGUUCUGUACUUGAGCCUUUCAGCUGAGUCCCUCCCCUCCAACGGCCCCCUUCCCAACCCCGCUUGGUUAGCAUUCCGCUCAGAGGUUAAGAGCAUUGCCUGCUCUUCCAAAGGUCCUGAGUUCAAUCCCCAGCAACCACAUGGUGGCUCACAACCAUCUGUAAUGGGGUCUGGUGCCCUCUUCUGGCCUGCAGGCAUACAC